rnacentral:lncRNA from 1 species
CUGAAGGUGUGGGUGUCGAGCCCUCUGGCAGAGGGUUAACCUGGGUCAAAUGCACGGAUUCUCACCUCGUACAGUUACGCUCUCCCGCGGCACGUCCGCGAGGACUUGAAGUCCUGAGCGCUCAAGUUUGUCCGUAGGUCGAGAGAAGGCCAUGGAGGUGCCGCCACCGGCACCGCGGAGCUUUCUCUGUAGAGCAUUGUGCCUAUUUCCCCGAGUCUUUGCUGCCGAAGCUGUGACUGCCGAUUCGGAAGUCCUUGAGGAGCGUCAGAAGCGGCUUCCCUACGUCCCAGAGCCCUAUUACCCGGAAUCUGGAUGGGACCGCCUCCGGGAGCUGUUUGGCAAAGAGUAAAAGUGCCUAGGUGAACAGCAGAGAAUUUCAAAGGACCUUGCUAAUAUCUGUAAGACGGCAGCUACAGCAGGCAUCAUUGGCUGGGUGUAUGGGGGAAUACCAGCUUUUAUUCAUGCUAAACAACAAUACAUUGAGCAGAGCCAGGCAGAAAUUUAUCAUAACCGGUUUGAUGCUGUGCACUCCUGUAGGAGGCCUGCUGAUGGCAUUUCAGAAGUACUCUGGUGAGACUGUUCAGGAAAGAAAACAGAAGGAUCGAAAGGCACUCCAUGAGCUAAAACUGGAAGAGUGGAAAGGCAGACUACAAGUUACUGAGCACCUCCC